rnacentral:lncRNA from 1 species
GUGUGGUUGCCAGCAACAGUUUUACUCGCAUUUAAUCGAAAAUGUGACGGACGAAGAGAAGAGCGGCACGGAAGCCAACAGUCCCAAGCAUGAGGAAGAACCCGUAGCAAAUGCAAGCCAUGUAACCGAAAAAGAAAGAUGUUUGCAUGAAACCAGACAUGUCUGAUCUCGCAUAGUAAUAGUAUAAACAGUACGCGUAGAUAAACAAACCAGUCGACCCACCGCAUAGGAAUGAUUUGCAAAUAAAGAUUAAAAGAUUCAAAAUCUCUGCGAAGGAUGUAAUAAAAGUGCAGCAACGUGAUCUUACCUCCACCACCCUUCGUGAUCUUCAGCGGCGAGUUGGAAGUAAGUGAGGGCAACGGUUAUAAAAGCGGUAACGAUCAAUAGGAUGAUAAAGACGAUGAUGAGGAUGCUGUAAAUGGUGUAGAUCCGAUGGCCC